rnacentral:rRNA from 1 species
UACGUAGGGUCCGAGCGUUGUCCGGAAUCACUGGGCGUAAAGCGCACGUAGGCGGCUUCUUAAGUCAGGGGUGAAAUCCUGGAGCUCAACUCCAGAACUGCCUUUGAUACUGAGGAGCUUGAGUCCGGGAGAGGUGAGUGGAACUGCGAGUGUAGAGGUGAAAUUCGUAGAUAUUCGCAAGAACACCAGUGGCGAAGGCGGCUCACUGGCCCGGUACUGACGCUGAGGAGCGAAAGCGUGGGGAGCGAACAGG